rnacentral:rRNA from 1 species
UACGUAGGUGGCAAGCGUUAUCCGGAUUUACUGGGUGUAAAGGGCGUGUAGGCGGGAAAGCAAGUCAGAUGUGAAAACCAUGGGCUCAACCUGUGGCCUGCAUUUGAAACUGUUUUUCUUGAGUACUGGAGAGGCAGACGGAAUUCCUAGUGUGGCGGUGAAAUGCGUAGAUAUUAGGAGGAACACCAGUGGCGAAGGCGGUCUGCUGGACAGCAACUGACGCUGAGGCGCGAAAGCGUGGGGAGCAAACAGG